AUAAGAGUGUUUUCUUUUUUUUUUUUAACAAAGUCGAAAACGCUCAUACAAGACUAUUUUCGUCGCUGCUCUCCACCAAAACACACUCUCUGAUGAGGUCAUUGUUCUCACGAUAGUUUAUUGGAGGAAGGAGGAAGUCAGACCCUGUGUAAGAGGGGCGUCACGGUUGGUCUAAGCCACGGUCUAAGCGCAAAGGAACGUUUACGUUUAAGAUCCCUGUUUCGUUUGUUCAUUUAACAAGAGGACGUUUCAUCCACAUUUCAACACAUUUCAAGGUUUUUAAUACGGAUCAUUCACGAUGGUGCAUCAUGUCCGACAGUUAUUUGGGAGAGGGUAUGUUUCAGUAUUUCUCCUUCUUUCUGCCACGAUGAUCACGGUAUCUACCGUCACCCAUUAUUCUGUUCCCGAAGAAAUGGAGGAAGGCUCAGUCGUUGCUAAUUUAGCAACUGAUCUGGGAUUAGAUGUGAAGACGCUAAAAGGAAGGAAAAUGCGCUUAGACGUUGUAGGCAAUAAAAAAUAUUUUGACAUCAACAAGGACACGGGAGAGCUGUUUAUUUUGGAAAGAAUAGACAGAGAGUUUUUGUGCCCCUUGAAAAAUGCGCACUGCUUUCUUAAGUUGGAUGCUAUGAUUGAAAACCCAAUACGAAUGUUUAAUAUCGAGGUCGAAAUUAUGGAUAUUAAUGAUAACGCUCCUCAUUUUCGGCGGGGAACGAUGCAUUUGGACAUAUCUGAAUCAAGCCCCGUUGGAGAGAGAUUCUCACUGAAUAACGCUGCAGACCCAGAUGUUGGAACGAAUUCUGUGAAAGAUUACCAUCUGAGCUCAAGCGAAUAUUUUGCGCUUGAAAUUCAGACCGGUAGAGACGGGACAAAGUUUGCUGAUUUGAUUCUGAAAAAAACUUUAGAUAGAGAGCAGCAGCCUGUUCAUAAUUUAAUACUGACUGCUGUGGACGGUGGAGUCCCCACGCGCACAGGUACAGCCAGUAUCAUUAUCCGCGUGCUCGAUGUCAACGACAAUGCCCCUUCAUUUGACAAAGACAAAUACACCGUAGAUGUGAUGGAGAACUCUCCGAUUGGCAGUCUAGUAAUUAAACUAAAUGCCACUGACUUAGAUGAAGGGUCCAACUCUGAUAUAGUUUAUUCAUAUAGUUUGUAUACAUCAGAGAGAACACAAAAUAUGUUUAGCUUGAAUCCAGAAAAUGGUGAAAUCAGAGUGAAAGAGAUGAUAAAUUAUGAAGAUUUGAGACUUUAUGAAAUGGAGGUUAUUGCCAGUGAUAAAGGGCCAAACUCAUUAUCUGGACAGUGUAAACUGACAAUACAGGUCACAGAUAUGAAUGACAAUCACCCAGAAAUAUCCAUCAAAUCAUUUCAUAGUCCGAUCAAAGAAGAUACUGCAGUAGACACAGUGAUAGCAGUAGUUAGUGUUAAUGAUAAAGACUCAGGUGACAACGGAGUGGUUGAUCUUUAUAUUCCAGAUAAUAUGCCUUUCAAACUGAGGGAAUCAUCUGAUAACUAUUAUGAGUUAGUGGUCUCAGAGCCUUUAGACCGUGAGAAGGUCCCAGAAUACGACAUCACUUUCACUGUAACAGACAGAGGUUCUCCUCCUUUAUCUGACAAUGAAACUAUGACUUUAGAGCUGCUGGAUGUGAAUGACAAUGUUCCACAGUUCCCUCAGUCAUUUUAUACUAUACGUGUAAUGGAGAAUAACGCACCUGGGGCCUUGCUCAGUUCACUCACUGCGUUUGACCCUGACCUCCAUGAAAACCAGUAUCUAGUUUAUUUCAUCCUAGAGAAGGAGAUAGCCAACACCUCCAUGUCCAUGCUGUUCUCCAUCAAUCCAGAGAAUGGUAAUCUUUACGCACUAAAAACUUUUGACUAUGAGAUUGAAAAGGAGUUUCUUUUUCACAUCGAGGCCAGAGACUCUGGUUCUCCUCCACUCAGCAGCAACGUGACCGUCCAUAUCAUUAUUGUGGACCAAAACGACAACGCUCCGGUCAUUGUCUCUCCGUGGCGUGCGCACGGCUCCGUAGUGGAGGAAAAAAUCCCCAGAUCCACCGAUAAAGGCUCCCUGGUUGCGAAGGUGAUAGCCUUAGACACCGACUCGGUGCACAACUCUCGGAUUACCUACCAGUUUCUACAGGUGACUGACGCCACCUUGUUCAGUCUGGAUCAAUACAACGGAGAGAUCCGGACUAUGAGGAUGUUCAGUUACAGAGAUCCGCGACACCAGAGACUGGUUGUUAUUGCCAAGGACAACGGGGAUCCUGCUCUCUCUGCUACAGUCACCAUCAAGCUGUCCACAGUGGAGACUGCUGUUAAGGCCUACUCUGACAUGACUGAGGUGCCUCUAGAAUAUGACAUCUUCUCAGACCUAAACCUGUAUUUGGUCAUUGGUUUGGGCUCGGUGUCAUUUCUCCUGCUGAUCACCAUAUUGGUCACCAUCGUGCUCAAGUGUCAGAAACCCAAGCCCAGCAAAGCAGCUCCUCCCUGCAGGAACAGUGUGAUCAGUGAGAGGAACUCCACCAUCGCAGACUCCACUCUGGUCUCCAACGAUGCCUACUGGUACAGUCUGUUUCUAGCAGAGACCAAGAAAGGAAAGCUGGUGGUCAGACAGCCUGUGCCAAAGGGCUCCAGAUACAUCGUGUCCAGUAUACCAAGGAGCACAGGAAUGUCAGAGACUAGUGAAUCAGCAGCUUCUACUCUGCAGGUAGAAAUGGCCGCUUACUCCACUGCAGUUUAAACAAACCAUUAUUCCUAAAUGUAGUUUUGUGAAGCAAAAUAUCUGGCCUAUUGUUACUACAGUUCACACUGCAAUAUUUCAUUAACAGUCAGCUUUUAUCUCAAAUGUAUUAGCAAUGUCUUUUUUCAGUAGAUAUUGUUUUUUGCAAGGGAUAUAAAAUAGAAUAACCAUAAUACAUCUAGAAAUCUAAAUAAUGGGAUUCUUAAUUUUAAAAUCAUUAAGAAUGUAUUGCAUCAAAGCAAAUAUAUAGAAAACAGUAUGAAUCAGUAUAAAGCUACACAUGUAAUAUUUUGCUGUACCUCUGAUGUUGUCUGUGUUUUGUCCUAAGGAUAUUUACUGGUUUAAACUUUCAGGUAUGUGUGUUUCUUUAGUAAACAGGUAUCUACUGAAAAUGCAAUCAAGAGCCCAACUCCCGAUAUCACCCUUAACAUACACUGGUGGAAAUGCAAUACCUUUGCUGACGUAAUAAAAACAAAAAACAAACAAACAAACAAAAAAAACACUUGAAAAUUAAAGUAAAAAUAAGACAUUGAAUUUAUAAGUUAAAUGCAACCUUUUAUUGGAUAUUACAUUCAUCUAGUCUACAUAAACCUAUAGUUUUGAUUUACAAUACUUUAAAAAAUCUCAUUAAAUCUCAUAAAUCUUUUUAUAUUAGAAGUGAAAUAACAAUCAGUAACAAACUCUGCUUACUCCUCUGUUUCAUCCCACAGGUCUUUGCUCUUAAAGUUUUCUUGUUGUUUUACAGAGCGACACUUGCUAAAAAGGCUUUAGACAUUUUUGUGUGACUUUGGUCUGUGGCCUCUAUAUUAGUGCCUUUAUUAUGUUCACUGCAAAUAAAAACACAAUGAAGUCUAAAGCAGAGCACAAACCUGAUGCACAAAGAGCUCAUAUAAGACCUUUUUUCACAUAAUUAAGGUUUAUGAGUAUAGAUUCUUUUGACUAACUAUCUUUUCAUUUUCUUGUCAGGUAUGGCUUGCCAUUUCUCUUCAAAUAAACAUGCUCUUUGCAACAUUGUAUUUAAACAAUCCAUAAAAAAGAAUUCACGAUGCAGUUUUUUGCUGUUGUCAACAAUGACAGCAACAACACAGUGUGGUGCAUUUUAGCACACAUGAGACAUACACCCUGUGUGGUUCAGGUCUUCUGUUCCUGUCAAUGUCAAAGUCUGUGGAAUUGGAGAGACAGGAAAUGAGUAGCUUUUGAGUGUUCUGUAUCACCACAGUACAAAUCUGAAAUACAGAGAGCUGAACCCAUAGUUCAAACUGACACAUUUCUGCCAAUGUCAUUGGACUAUUUAAUGUAAGUUGAUGCCAUGAAUGCUGACCGACCUACCUACCUAUCUAUCUAUCUAUCUAUCUAUCUAUCUAUCUAUCUAUCUAUGAUGGUAAGUAUGAGCAGCUGGAAGAACAAACAAUUACAUAGCUAAAUGUAAAAUUAUUUUAAAUCACCUUUAUAUAACUAAUUGUAACGAGCUGCUGUAUCUGUUUUAGCGGGUCACACUAACCAUGCUUAGUCAAAGAUAACAUUGCAACUCUGUGUUCAUAGGAUACAUACACAAAUAAUCCUUUACUGUGCUUGUCUGACCAUUGAAUUGCUUUUUUUUUCUCCCCACUCUAAAGUACCCUAAAUGAGGGAAGUCCACCCUGCAGCUGGAGGCAUCCACAACCAGCAGCGGCAGUUCCACAUAAGGCCACACCUCCAGCUGCGUACCGGAUUGAUGCUGACAAGAGAGCUUCACAGAGGAAAGGAGAACCCCCCCCCCCCCCAAAUCCAUGUCGUCACACUCAGUCUGGUCCCUGCUCCUCGCAAUGUGUAGUUAUCAUGCUUUAAGACCAAACGGACUAUGGUGGCUAAACAAGGAUGCAACCCUCCCCCUUUCUGUCUUUAAGCACAUGAAAAGCCAAUCAACAAUGUUUCUCUGUCCAUUCGUUAUGCAUGAUAAGACUGCAUGGCUUCAACCACACUCCAAGACCUACAAAAAAAAAAACAAAAAUUCAAGACAAGACACUCACCAAAAAGACUGUACAGAAAAUUGCAUCAGUGGAUAUAUUCAAAGAAGCUGCAACAAGGACUACUUGAGUGGACACAGGAAUGUUGGGAUGCCUUUAAGAGACUGUUUUUCCACUCUAAAAAAGAAACACAUAAUGGAUAUUUUACAUUUUUAACCUACAUGCUUUGUCUUGCUCCAUAACAGCAUUGGUGUAUAAUAUAUAAGAUAACAUAAGAAUCAAGAAGUGAAACAGCACAAUUAACUGUGUCAAAAAGCACCAACCUAUGAUUUCAAAAGUAUGAAACAAAGGGGAAUCAGUAUUUUGUAAAUGUGGUAGCAUUUAGUAAUUUUAUGUUUUGUAACUGACUUUGUGCUUUAUAUGAGAGCCAGGCCUGAAUAUAUGAAUGAGAGUGCUAAGAGAUUAAAUUAAUUUAACAAAUUCAUCAAACAUAAGAGUGAGGCCUUCAGCCAUCAUGUAUCUGCCUUUCAGUUGAUUUUGCAUGGAAUAAUCAAUUACUUAAAUAGCUUUAGAUAUGUUAUGGUAUUGAACAAUCAGUUUUCUGUAGUUAAGCCUCACUAUUUUGUCUGUUUCAAAACAAGAUGGAAGCAUUUUAAUGGGACCACAAUGAAGAAGUACAACAGCAUUACACCUUCAUAUUACACAGUCCUAAGAUUUUGAGAUAUGGUGCACAGAUGUGUAAUCUUAUUCCUUUUUCCUAGCUUCUACUCAAGAGGAAAAUGGCUGGGAUCAGUGAGGCAUUUGUAUGGCUUCAGAAACUUGGGUGUACAGAUAACUUAAGAAUACAGUGUGCUUGAAUGUUUUGUCCACUUUGACACUACUGCAGAAUAUGAUUCUAGCAGACUGAAGACAAGUGAACACAGUUGUUGAGAACAGAUUGAUUAAUGUCUCCUUAUAACUACUGCAUAGUAUAUCUAUCACAAACAUGACCAUGUUUUACUUUUUUAUUUUUAAAGCAAAACUCUGGAUGUCUCUUAAUAUCAAUGUCUUCUGAGACUGUGUAGGAAGUUGAAAACCCAGAAUUGACUUAAUGUUUACUUUACUGAAAAACAAAAUAGCUGUGGUUGGUUUUACCCAAUGAAAGCUGUGUUCAUGUAUAUUACUGAUUACUGUGUGUAUCUGCAUAUGCAACGCAUAAGUAUGGAUACAGAUGUGACAGACAUAUACAGUAUCAUAUGUCUGUAUCUAUACAGUUUCCAGUUACACCUAGCUAAAACUAAUGCAGUCUUAUACAACAGCCCUGCAGUAAAUCCUGCCCUCAUCAAGGUUAUGAUGUUCAGUUUUUGUUGUAUCUGUUUUACAAAGGUGUUGAACUUAAUGGUUAUUUUGGAGGCUGUAAUUGGUUACAUACUCAGAGUUGUGAUGUAAAUGAAGUGAAUGAAAGAUUAGAAACAUCUGUCAGUGUAAAGGGAUACAAUUCAGCCUCCAAUAUGACCAUAUAGUCAAAUUAACACCUAUAUAAGACAAUUUCAACAAAUGCUGAAUAAAUACCUUUGAUAUGGGUAUGAUAUUAUUGCAGGGCUGUUGUGGUACACUGCAUUAGUUUUAGCUAAUAAAUCUACUUAAUAACAAGUAACUGAGUGUAUGUACUGUAUGUUUCCUUUUCAGUGCAAGUGCUAAAAUUUUUAAUGUGAACAGCUGAACUGCUGUGCCAGCAGAUUUAUGGCCCAACUAGUUAUGUGCAACAGUAAAAUAAUCAGACAUCAUGUAGUCAAAGUCUUUCGCACAGUUCACACUGCAUUACCUGUAUAGUUAUAAUGUGUUACAGGCAAAUAUAUACAUUAAGUGCUUUUGUACAGUGGUAUGUUUAUGGUGCAACAUGUAGUAAAUUGUGUCAUGUGAGCUUAUUGUAUGCUAUGGUCUGGUCAUUAUGAUCUAUUGAAUAAAAAAACAGAACUUAA